rnacentral:tRNA from 1 species
GGGAAUGUGGCUUAGUGGUAAAGUGCUUGCCUAGCAUGCAUGAAGCCCUGGGUUCAAUUCCUCAAGACCA